AUUGAACGCUGGCGGCAUGCCUUACACAUGCAAGUCGAACGGUAACAGGUCUUCGGAUGCUGACGAGUGGCGAACGGGUGAGUAAUACAUCGGAACGUGCCUAGUAGUGGGGGAUAACUACUCGAAAGAGUGGCUAAUACCGCAUGAGAUCUACGGAUGAAAGCAGGGGAUCGCAAGACCUUGUGCUACUAGAGCGGCCGAUGGCAGAUUAGGGAGUUGGUGGGAUAAAAGCUUACCAAGCCGCCGAUCUGUAGCCGGUCUGAGAGGACGAUCAGCCACCAUGGGACUGAGACACGGCCCAGACUCCUACGGGAGGCAGCAGUGGGGAAUUUUGGACAAUGGGCGAAAGCCUGAUCCAGCAAUGCCGCGUGCAGGAUGAAGGCCUUCGGGUUGUAAACUGCUUUUGUACGGAACGAAAAGCCCUGGGUUAAUACCCUGGGGUCAUGACGGUACCGUAAGAAUAAGCACCGGCUAACUACGUGCCAGCCGCCGCCGUAA
rnacentral:rRNA from 1 species